rnacentral:lncRNA from 1 species
CCUAAUGCAUGCUUAUCGAACAAGUUUCUGAUGAGAAUUUGGACUUUAUGUAAAUGGUCUGAUGAAUUGGUUUUAGAACUUUGGGCUAACGGUUUCUUUAUUCAUUCUCUUGAUUGUCGUAUAAAACAUAUUCUAUUUCUGGUACUCUAAUGAACUCAUGCAUGCAUUCAAUAACCUGGUGACGUUUGGUGAUUUGUGCAUAAUGCUUGCUAAUACAAUGGCACCUCUAUUCUCAGGACUAAACUUAGUUUACGAAGCCCAGCCGGCAAUAGAAACGCUAGCAUGGGUCUCGAGCUUUUACUGUCAUUAUUCACUUAUAGGGUCCAGUUUCUUGAGAAAAGGAUCCAUUAGCUCUGGUGGUAGCAGUGACUACAAAGUACUUUAAAUAUAUAAUAAGAUCUGCAUUUGAAUUUUUUUUUUUUUAAUGCUGAAGAAAUUCCAUAGUGACAAGGAAUACAAAACAGAGAGUUUAGGAACCUAAACCUUGAUAAACAGAACCCAAAUUAAAGACCAUUAAGACAACAAACAAAUACAAAUCACAGCUGCUGAUCACACUGGUGACUGGCCGCUUGAUAGUCAAAAAAUUCUUGAACCAAAACUAGAGAUGUAAAACAGAUUUAUCCAUUCUGUUCCGUCCCGUACCGCAGUGGGUUAGUCGUCGAGCGGGUUACAGUGGGCCUGUUCCGCGCGGACUGUGGUCUUCAAAAUGCCGGCCCAAACCCGUACCGCAAAAUAUAUAGGCUUUCGCGGGCCGUCCCGCGGAAGCCUCCUUAUCAAACCA